GACGAACGCUGGCGGCGUGCUUAGCACAUGCAAGUCGAACGGAAAGGCCCUGCUUUUGUGGGGUGCUCGAGUGGCGAACGGGUGAGUAACACGUGAGUAACCUGCCCUUGACUUUGGGAUAACUUCAGGAAACUGGGGCUAAUACCGGAUAGGAGCCCCUGCUGCAUGGUGGGGGUUGGAAAGUUUCGGCGGUUGGGGAUGGACUCGCGGCUUAUCAGCUUGUUGGUGGGGUAGUGGCUUACCAAGGCUUUGACGGGUAGCCGGCCUGAGAGGGUGACCGGCCACAUUGGGACUGAGAUACGGCCCAGACUCCUACGGGAGGCAGCAGUGGGGAAUAUUGCACAAUGGGCGGAAGCCUGAUGCAGCAACGCCGCGUGCGGGAUGACGGCCUUCGGGUUGUAAACCGCUUUCGCCUGUGACGAAGCGUGAGUGACGGUAAUGGGUAAAGAAGCACCGGCUAACUACGUG
rnacentral:rRNA from 1 species